ensembl:lncRNA
AUGUCUACGACUCGCUUCAAGCGCUGCACUCAGUGUGCCGCUAAAAUUCCUGAUUCCGACGGCCACGCCAAGUGCCUCUACUGCCUCGGAGAGGCACAUGUCGUCGGUACCUGCCGCUUCUGCCUGGCCCUAACGGCUCAGGCUAGAAAAAAUAGAGCCGCGAGGCUUAGAGCGGCGCUCUACGAAAAAUCGCUUGCCCCUGAACCCGCUCCGUCGACUUCGGGCACGAAGCCGCCGCUUAAUCCGGGUUCGAUGUCGGCUUCAACAGCUAAAGCCCCUUCGGUCUCGUCUAAGGCGUCCAGAGCCUCCAGAUCGUCUAAGGCCGCUAAACCACCGUGCACACUCACCACGGCUACGGUGUCGACACGUUCUGGUCGGGUCGGCCCUUCCUCGACAUCGAGCUCGGUGGCUUCCGUAUCUUCGGCCCGAUCCCAUCUUGGGGCUCCUCCGUCGACCUCUGCGAUGAAGAUCGCCCUUAAAAGGGCUCACGAGGAAGCUCGUCGGACCCAAUCCGACUCAGCAAUGGUCCCUCCCACGCCGGGAAAAUCCCUGAGGGUUCCAUCAAAACAACCACUCGCUAAGAAGAGGGCAACCCAACGUUCUUCCUCUUCUGCUUCCUCCAAGAUGGACGUCCUUUCUUCGGCGACUUCUUCUAGAAGGUCCUCUCCGAUCGCUCCUGCUCAGCGACCUCGCCAAACUUCUCCUCAACAACUUUCUGAUGGCGAGUUGCAGGACUCACCCCACCACUCCACUCAGACAGUGGUCAGGGUGCCAUCUCCUCGACCUGCUGUCUCUCAUCGUCCGUCUCGCCAGCAGCUUUUUCCCCCGACCUCGACACCGGAACGGGGUAGACAGACCACACGCCUGGCUCGAGCGGCCCAGGCCUCGGCCUCCAAAGAUACUCGGCCACAGAUGGCUUCUGCUCUUGAGGCUUUGCCGCCACCAGAGACUGUGUUGUCAUCUCCCCCCCAGUCCCCUCAAGGGGCUGGGGACGAUGAGAUCGAUAUAGAUCGCCCUGAUUCCGCUCUCUCGGCCUCGGUGGUAUCCUUAGGCCUUGAUCUCUCUCCUCCUCAUGACGCCUAUGAGGUGGACCCUCCUUCGCCUACCGACAACAUUCGGGCUUUCUCCGAACAAAUGAUUAGAAUGGCCGACGCCCUGGGUCUAGAAAUCAAACAGACUUCCAAGGCAGUUACUGACCCAGUCUUCAAACGGGUCCAAGCCCAGGCUCCUCCAGCCACGCUGUUGCCAUUUUUGCCUUAUCUCCUAGAUGUCAUCCAAUCUUCGUGGAAGACUCCUUCCUCGAUCCCUCCUACCUCGAAGAGAAUCGAGUCUUGGUAUCGUACAGAUGACGACACUUUAGAAUGGCUUAAACACCAUCCCGACCCGAACUCCAUGGUCGUUAAAGCUUCUCAGUCUUCCAGCCGUGAAUCCACUACCCCUGCAGACAGAGAGGGCAAGAGGUUCGACGCGGUCGGUCGAAAGCUCUAUUCCGGAGCCCUUCUACUCUGUAGAAUGGCGAACUAUGGGGCCUGUAUGGGGGCAUACCAGCAGAUCCUUUGGGAGAAAGCUCAGCCCUUCUUCUCUAAAUUGUCGGAUGAAGACCGGUCCGUCAUGUCCACCCUCCAACAAGAGGCCGAUUCGUUAGCGCAUCAUCAAAUCCAGAUGGCUAAGCAUACGGGCGACACGGCCGGCAAGAUGAUUGCCCACGCCAUUGCUAUUCGUCGCCACGCCUGGCUGAGAUCUUCCGGUCUGUCUUCCUCCUCGAGGCAGGUCAUCGAAGACCUCCCCUUCGACGCCAUGGGCCUCUUUAACUCUGGCACCGACGACAAGCUAAAAACCAACCACGACUUUAAAGUUCUGGCCACUAAAUGCGGCGAUCAACCCCAGGUUCACCGCACCAAGUGGUUUCCUCAACGCUUUCGACGCUUUCCGCCUCCUUCUUACCGCCAUCAGUCCUUCCGGCGUCCCUCGGUAUCAAACAACCAAAAUCGCCAGCAACCCCGUCGGGCCGCUCAGCCACAAAGACAACGCGGCCGAGCCACCCCCACUGCUGCUCAACCUCUCCGGCGUUCCUGA